rnacentral:rRNA from 1 species
CAAGUCGAAUGAAUCUCAGGUAGCAAUACCUGGGGGAAAUGGCGAAAGGGGCAGUAAUGUAUGGGUAACCUACCCGGGGGUCGUGGAUAGCCGUCCUAACGGACGGGUAAUACAUGGCGAUUCAGCGAGGAGACAUCUUCUUGCUGGGAAAGAAUUUCGCCUCCGGAGGGGCUCAUAUCGUAUUAGCUAGUUGGUGAGGUAACGGCUCACCAAGGCGAAGAUGCGUAGCGGGUGUGAGAGCACGACCCGCGCCACUGGCACUGAGACACUGGCCAGACACCUACGGGUGGCUGCAGUCGAGGAUCUUCGGCAAUGAGCGCAAGCUUGACCGAGCGACGCCGCGUGGAUGAUGAAGGCCUUCGGGUUGUAAAAUCCUGUCGAGGGGGAUCAAGCGCAAGUUGAGUGAUCCCUGGAGGAAGCACGGGCUAAGUUCGUGCCAGCAGCCGCGGUAAGACGAACCGUGCAAACGUUAUUCGGAAUCACUGGGCAUAAAAGGCGCGUAGGCGGCUUGACAAGUCAGGGGUGAAAUCCGGCAGCUUAACUGUCGCAGUGCCUUUGAUACUGUCGAGCUCGAGGGAGGUAGGGGUCUGUGGAACUUCCGGUGGAGCGGUGAAAUGCGUUGAUAUCGGAAGGAACGCCGGUGGCGAAAGCGACGGACUGGAUCUCUUCUGACGCUGAGGCGCGAAAGCUAGGGGAGCAAACGGGAUUAGAUACCCCGGUAGUCCUAGCCCUAAACGAUGGGUACUAGAUUGCGGACUUACAUGGGUUCGCAGUCGAAGCUAAUGUUUUAAGUACCCCGCCUGGGGAGUAUGGUCGCAAGGCUGAAACUCAAAGGAAUUGACGG